GACGAACGCUGGCGGCGCGCCUAACACAUGCAAGUCGAACGAGCGAGAGAGAGCUUGCUUUCUCGAGCGAGUGGCGAACGGGUGAGUAACGCGUGAGGAACCUGCCUCAAAGAGGGGGACAACAGUUGGAAACGACUGCUAAUACCGCAUAAGCCCACGACCCGGCAUCGGGUAGAGGGAAAGGGAGCAAUCCGCUUUGAGAUGGCCUCGCGUCCGAUUAGCUAGUUGGUGAGGUAACGGCCCACCAAGGCAACGAUCGGUAGCCGGACUGAGAGGUUGAACGGCCACAUUGGGACUGAGACACGGCCCAGACUCCUACGGGAGGCAGCAGUGGGGAAUAUUGCACAAUGGGGGAAACCCUGAUGCAGCGACGCCGCGUGGAGGAAGAAGGUCUUCGGAUUGUAAACUCCUGUUGUUGAGGAAGAUAAUGACGGUACUCAACAAGGAAGUGACGGCUAACUACGUGCCAGCAGCCGCGGUAAAACGUAGGUCACAAGCGUUGUCCGGAAUUACUGGGUGUAAAGGGAGCGCAGGCGGGAAGACAAGUUGGAAGUGAAAACCAUGGGCUCAACCCAUGAAUUGCUUUCAAAACUGUUUUUCUUGAGUAGUGCAGAGGUAGAUGGAAUUCCCGGUGUAGCGGUGGAAUGCGUAGAUAUCGGGAGGAACACCAGUGGCGAAGGCGGUCUACUGGGCACCAACUGACGCUGAGGCUCGAAAGCAUGGGUAGCAAACAGGAUUAGAUACCCUGGUAGUCCAUGCCGUAAAC
rnacentral:rRNA from 1 species